rnacentral:rRNA from 1 species
GACGAACGCUGGCGGCGUGCUUAACACAUGCAAGUCGAACGGAAAGGCCCUGCCUGCAGGGUACGAGAGGCGCGAAGGGGAGAGAAACACGUGGGAGCUCCGCUCCACACUUCGGGAUAAGCGUGGAAAAGGGGGUCAAAUACGGGAGAAGAGCAAUUUAGAGUGUGAGGGGGGGAGAGUUUUCUCGGUGUGGGAUGAGCGCGCGGCCUAUCAGCGUGUUGGUGGGGUAAUGGCCUACCAAGGCGGCGACGGGUAGCCGGACUGAGAGGGUGGUCGGCCACAUUGGGACUGAGAUACGGCCCAGACUCCUACGGGAGGCAGCAGUGGGGAAUAUUGCACAAUGGGCGCAAGCCUGAUGCAGCGACGCCGCGUGGGGGAUGACGGCCUUCGGGUUGUAAACUCCUUUCGCUAGGGACGAAGCUUUUUGUGACGGUACCUGGAGAAGAAGCACCGGCUAACUACGUG